UGGCUCCUACGGGGGGCAGCAGCAGGGAAUUUUCGUCAAUGGGCGCAAGCCUGAACGAGCGAUGCCGCGUGAGUGAAGAAGGCCUUCGGGUCGUAAAGCUCUGUUGCGGGGGAAAAAAGGCAGCAUCAGGAAAUGGGUGCUGACUGAUGGUGCCCCGCCAGAAAGUCACGGCUAGCUACGUGCCAGCAGCCGCGGUAAUACGUAGGUGGCGAGCGUUAUCCGGAAUGAUUGGGCGUAAAGGGUGCGCAGGCGGUCCUGCGUGUCUGGAGUGAAACGCAUG
rnacentral:rRNA from 1 species